rnacentral:tRNA from 2 species
GCCCCGCUAGCUCAGUGGACAGAGCAGGUGCCUUCUAAGCACUUGGCCGGGGGUUCGAAUCCCUCGCGGGGCACCA